rnacentral:rRNA from 1 species
GAUGAACGCUGGCGGCGUGCCUAAUACAUGCAAGUCGAGCGAACAGAUAGGGAGCUUGCUCCUUUGACGUUAGCGGCGGACGGGUGAGUAACACGUGGAUAACCUACCUAUAAGACUGGGAUAACUUCGGGAAACCGGAGCUAAUACCGGAUAACAUAUUGAACCGCAUGGUUCAAUAGUGGAAGGCGGCUUUGCUGUCACUUAUAGAUGGAUCCGCGCCGUAUUAGCUAGUUGGUAAGGUAACGGCUUACCAAGGCAACGAUACGUAGCCGACCUGAGAGGGUGAUCGGCCACACUGGAACUGAGACACGGUCCAGACUCCUACGGGAGGCAGCAGUAGGGAAUCUUCCGCAAUGGGCGAAAGCCUGACGGAGCAACGCCGCGUGAGUGAUGAAGGUCUUCGGAUCGUAAAACUCUGUUAUCAGGGAAGAACAAAUGUGUAAGUAACUGUGCACAUCUUGACGGUACCUGAUCAGAAAGCCACGGCUAACUACGUG